GAUGAAGAACGUAGCGAAAUGCGAUAAGUAAUGUGAAUUGCAGAAUUCAGUGAAUCAUCGAAUCUUUGAACGCACAUUGCGCCCGCCAGUAUUCUGGCGAGCAUGCCUGUUCGAGCGUCAUUUCAACCAUCAAGCCCCAGGCUUGUGUUGGAGCCCUGCGGCUGCCGCAGCCUCCCAAAACCAGUGGCGGGCUCGCUAUCACACCGAGUGCAGUAGUUUACUCUUCGCUCAGGGCGUGUGGCGGGUGCUAGCCGUGAAACCCCCAACUUCUCAAGGUUGACCUCGGAUCAGGUAGGAAUAUCCGCUGAACUUAAGCAUAUCAAUAAGCGGAGGA
rnacentral:misc_RNA from 1 species